rnacentral:rRNA from 1 species
ACUCAAAUGAAUAGACGGGGGCCCGCACAAGCAGUGGAGCAUGUGGUUCAAUUCGAUGCAACGCGAAGAACCUUACCUAGGCUUGAAACGCAAAUUAAAGCGAAUGAAAGUUCGUGUCCCGCAAGGGGAAUUUGUACAGGUGCUGCAUGGCUGUCGUCAGCUCGUGCCGUGAGGUGUUGGGUUAAGUCCCGCAACGAGCGCAACCCUUGUCUUUAGUUGCCACCGGGUGAUGCCGAGCACUCUAAAGAGACUGCCUACGCAAGUAGUGAGGAAGGUGGGGAUGACGUCAAGUCCGCAUGGCCCUUACGCCUAGGGCCACACACGUGCUACAAUGGCCACUACAAAGGGCUGCAAAACCGCGAGGUCGAGCCAAUCCCUAAAAAGUGGUCUCAGUUCGGAUCGGAGUCUGAAACUCGACUCCGUGAAGCUGGAAUUGCUAGUAAUCGUGGAUCAGCACGCCACGGUGAAUACGUUCCCGGGCCUUGUACACACCGCCCGU